UACGAAGGGGGCUAGCGUUGUUCGGAAUUACUGGGCGUAAAGCGCAUGUAGGCGGACAUUUAAGUCAGUGGUGAAAUCCCGGGGCUCAACCCCGGAACUGCCUUUGAUACUGGGUGUCUUGAGUGUGGAAGAGGUAAGUGGAAUUGCGAGUGUAGAGGUGAAAUUCGUAGAUAUUCGCAGGAACACCAGUGGCGAAGGCGGCUUACUGGUCCAUUACUGACGCUGGAGUGCGAAAGCGUGGGGAGCAACAGG
rnacentral:rRNA from 1 species